AGUGAACGCUGGCGGCAUGCCUAACACAUGCAAGUCGAACGGCAGCACAGCAGUAGCAAUACUGUGGGUGGCGAGUGGCGGACGGGUGAGGAACACAUCGGAACGUACCCUGUCGUGGGGGAUAACUAGCCGAAAGGUUAGCUAAUACCGCAUACGACCGAGAGGUGAAAGCGGGGGACCGCAAGGCCUCGCGCGAAUGGAGCGGCCGAUGUCAGAUUAGGUAGUUGGUGGGGUAAAGGCUCACCAAGCCGACGAUCUGUAGCUGGUCUGAGAGGACGACCAGCCACACUGGGACUGAGACACGGCCCAGACUCCUACGGGAGGCAGCAGUGGGGAAUUUUGGACAAUGGGGGCAACCCUGAUCCAGCCAUUCCGCGUGAGUGAAGAAGGC
rnacentral:rRNA from 1 species